rnacentral:rRNA from 1 species
AUACGGAGGGUGCGAGCGUUAAUCGGAAUUACUGGGCGUAAAGCGUACGUAGGCGGUUGGUUAAGUUAGAUGUGAAAGCCCCGGGCUUAACCUGGGAACUGCAUUUAAAACUGGCGAACUAGAGUUGAGUAGAGGGGAGUGGAAUUUCAGGUGUAGCGGUGAAAUGCGUAGAGGUCUGAAGGAACACCAGUGGCGAAGGCGACUCCCUGGACUCGAACUGACGCUGAGGUACGAAAGUGUGGGUAGCAAACGGGAUUAGAAACCCUAGUAGUCC